GUCCGUGUAGUAAAGUGGUUAAUACGUCGCAUUGUGGCAUCAACAGCUCUAGUGCUGUUUGAAACGCGGUCUGCGGAGGCCCAUGUUCGAUUCAUGGCACGGACA